GUGGGGAAUAUUGGGCAAUGGGCGCAAGCCUGACCCAGCAACGCCGCGUGAGGGAAGAAGGCUUUCGGGUUGUAAACCUCUGUCCUUGGUGACGAAAAAAAUGACGGUAGCCAAGGAGGAAGCCCCGGCUAACUACGUGCCAGCAGCCGCGGUAAUACGUAGGGGGCGAGCGUUGUCCGGAAUUACUGGGCGUAAAGGGUGCGUAGGUGGCCUUUUAAGUUGGAUGUGAAAUACCCGGGCUUAACUUGGGGGGUGCAUCCAAAACUGGGAGGCUAGAGUGCAGGAGAGGAAAGCGGAAUUCCUAGUGUAGCGGUGAAAUGCGUAGAUAUUAGGAGGAACACCAGUGGCGAAGGCGGCUUGCUGGACAGUAACUGACGUUGAGGCUCGAAAGCGUGGGGAGCAAACAGGAUUAGAAACCCGAGUAGUCC
rnacentral:rRNA from 1 species